UUCUGGCUUGGCACGUGGAAGGAGCAGCGUUCAACUGCAGCGCAUAGCCGCAUAGCCUUGUGAAUGUCAUGGCACAACGCUUCCUCACACUGGAGGCUGCAACUGACCUAUUCUUCAGCCUUCCCGAUGACGAACGCGAAAGUGCGUCUAUAUGCCAAUUGCCGCCUGAUGAAGACGGCAACAUUACUGACGAGGAGCACGUGAACGAAAAUGACUUUUCUGAAGUUGUUCCCGAUGACGUUUGCGGGCAGGUUGAAGUUAUGCAGUGCUGCGAUGAAGACGUUGAUUCGCCUACUGCAUGUUCGAGUCCUGAGCCACGACGAAAGAAACCAGCGCGGAGGCAGUCGACUGCUGGAAAAAGGUGCAAGUCUUCAAACAAGGCUGGAAAAACAAAAACCCCGAAGCACUCCCUUAGCGCAGCAUGGGGUGACCAUGCUACGUUCGACAAAGCACUUCCCAGAGAGAACCCUCCGUUGUUGCUAGAGGCAUUUCCUGAGCUAGCAGACAUGAGCCCAUUUAUGCUGUUCAGCAAAAUAAUUUCUCCAGAAUAUCUUGGUUCACUGGCUGAACUGACUGCAAGGUACGCACUCCAAAAGGGGGAGGAGGUGGACGUCACUGGAGCGGAUAUAGGUCAGUUUUUCGGCCUCUUACUGUUGAGUGGAUAUCACUCCGUUCCAUCUGAGGACUCGUAUUGGAGCACCGCAGAAGACCUUCGUGUGCCUUUAGUCGCGACAGUGAUGGCCCGCAAUGGGGCUCUUGCAUUGCCCAGGGGGCGCUGCGAAAAAGGUGCUAAAAAGCGCCCUCUGCGCUAAAAUGGGUCGUACCAAGCUCGGUCGUCUGCUUCGGAAAGCACGUUUACACUAUGGACCCGCCACUUUCGGUUGUGUUGUUUCACGGCCUGCAGCGAAUAUCGGGCGCCGAAGAUUUUUUCAGGGGUGGCACGCUGCGUAAAGGCAAGAAAUUAUGCAGUGCCGAAUACGUGUACGCCGUUCAAGAAUUGGGCGGCGAAGUUUUAGCACCGUGUCAAACGCGAGUCGCGUACGAAGUGGAACUUCAGGUAAGGUUUGCACGCUAGUUGCUAGAUUCAGGCGCACAAACGCGAGGAAAUGCUUGCUAUAAAUGAAUCCACAGCGGCGAUAAGCAGACAUCAUGUGUACGGAACUGCUCGAGCGCACGACGGUACGCGCCGCGAUGUACGAACUGCUCGAGCGCACGAUCGUACGCGCCGCGACGGCAGCGGUCUUUGGACAUGCCGCGAAACGGCGGGCCUCCUGCAAUCUUUGUUGACUGCAUGCCGCUAAACAAGUAGUUAUGCCUGCGUUUUAGUAGCGGCCAUCUGUCCUCUUUAGUAACUGGUAAUAACUGAUGCAAUGCAUAAGAGCUCGCACGUACGUGCGAAUCGCGGCGCGAGCUCGUACGCCGCUCGCUUGAUGUAGGUUUUAAUGACAGCGCUCGAACAUCGAUGUGCUGCAAUCAAUACUGCCUUGCUGCGCUGCCUCAACGUGCUGGCUUGAGAUCAAGGAUGAGUGCAUUUAACUCUCUUAACCUGUGCUGCUCGUAGUGAAGUAGUGAAUUGUCAUCGAAUGAGCCCGACCAUUUGUGCUCAUUUGCACACACCUGGUCGCUUCACCACUUCGCAUCGAUCGAAUUGUUAAUUGUCGCUGCGGCCGGGUCUCGAAUCGUGAAUUACCAGCCAUGCCUGCUGCUAUGUCGGUCUGCUGUCGGGACUGUAGGUGCAAAAGACCGAACAUUAGAAUGCAGAUAAUCAAGCAAGCUUCAAGACAGGCGAAGCAGUCAGCAUGGCGCGAAGUUUCGCUUACUCAGCGCGACGAACUGCAGCUAUGCAGCGCGCCCGACGCUCCACUUCGUGAGGCCUUGAAGGAAAACGGCAGAAUAUGAUGUUGGGAUUCAGGCCUUCUUGUUCAUGACAGCCCACGACGCAGAAGUAAUGACGGUGACGCCUUCUCGAGGCUGGGCUAGGUCUCUCCGGAUCGGCGCCACCGAUUCCGUCUGCUCCCAGCAUUGCGUCCCACGGCACACGGAGAGCCCGUUUUCGUUAAACUAUAGGCUGCGGCGAGCUCGCAGCGUGGUCGGCAUGGUCUGCGAGAAGUGACGAGCCUUUUCGCACUCGCAACAGGGCAGAAAAAAGUGCGAAUCGACGCAAAACUCGGCCUAGAAACGUGCUUCGCCACAGCCAGGGCUCAAUACGACCCAAGCUGGUACGACCCAGAUGUCGUUUCCCGCGCCGCCACCAGGCGCCGCUACUAUACCUCAAACUCCAGCGCAAGACGCCCAUAGGUUCCGGCAGCUAAAAAGGUUUUUUCAUGUAGUGGACAACACUCAGUUGAAAGAAGGCGAGAAGAAAUAGGUUCCUACCCGCAAUAGGUUCCGGCAGCUAAAAAGGUUUUUUCAUGUAGUGGACAACACUCAGUUGAAAGAAGGCGAGAAGAUGGGCAAGAUUCAGUCGUUUUACGACGAAAUCUCCAAAUGUUUCCGCCAGUUUGGAGUUUUCCACGAAAGCCUCAGCAUCGACGAGUCAAUGGUGCCCUAUUAUGGCCACCACUCGUGCAAAAUGUUCAUUCGCGGUAAACCUAUCCGAUUUGGGUAUAAGAUAUGGAUGAUGUGCUCUUCGAAUGGGUACCCCUAUGCAAUGGAAAUAUAUUGCGGGAGAAACGAGAAGGACGAGAAGGCACCUCUCGGGCUGAGGGUUGUUAGCAAUAUGACAUCCGUCCUGCCCGCCCCUGAACAGCAUGAAGUCUACUUUGACAACUUUUUCACUUCGCACGGUCUCCUGACGAAACUGGCUAACCAGGGUAUUCGAGCGACGGGGACUGUACGAGAUGCCAGAACCGGUGGUUGUCCACUGAAGAGCUCGAAAGACGUCGGAAGAGAGGAAAGAGGUUCUUUCCACUACAAAUGUGACGGGGUGGUCUACACAUGCAGGUGGAACGACAAUGCAGUCGUCACAGUUUCUUCAAACCACCUCGGCCAUGAGCCUCUUGGAACUGCAAAACGCUUCUCACGGCGGGCAAACAAAAAGGUAGACAUUCCUCAACCAUAUUUGAUAAAAAAAUACAAUGAGGGCAUGGGGGGAGUAGAUGUUCUCGAUCGCCUCCUCGGAAGUUAUCGGCCAAGACUUCGAAGCAAAAAAUGGUGGUGGAACCUUUUCAGCAAUGGUCUGAACAUGGCUGUCGUCGCAGGAUGGCUCCUUCAUUGCGAGCUUCACAAAGGAACUGAUGCCGCCAUGACACACAUAGCAUUUCGGAGGGACGUCAUCAUGUCCUUGCUGCACCUCAAGCAGAGAAUCACUGUGCGGCCUGGACCUCGGGUUCAUCCGAGACGCGAGGAUAGGAAAACUGAUGGCCACUACAUCAUCUCAGCAACUCAGGGGAGGUGUGCGGAGUGCAAGAAAAACACGAUGAACCAGGGUCAGCAGUGCAAAAAGCGCCUACACACGAAGUGCUUUGCAGCAUACCAUGGCUUGUGAAGUGUUCACAGACGUGUUGUGAAGCAAGUAGGAUGAAAAAAUAAAUUUUCGCAAGCAUUGUUAUAAACAUUUAUACUUUUGAAAGGCCUUGUAUGACGCUAAUAAUUAUUCUUCUGUUAACAUGAGAAAGCAAUCCCCCUUUAACAGACAAUAAAGGUUGUUCCAGACAAA